GGGUGAGUAAUACAUCGGAACGUGCCCAGUCGUGGGGGAUAACUACGGGAAACCGUAGCUAAUACCGCAUACGAACUCUGGUUGAAAGCGGGGGAUCGCAAGACCUCGCGCGAUUGGAGCGGCCGAUGGCAGAUUAGGUAGUUGGUGGGGUAAAGGCCUACCAAGCCGACGAUCUGUAGCUGGUCUGAGAGGACGACCAGCCACACUGGGACUGAGACACGGCCCAGACUCCUACGGGAGGCAGCAGUGGGGAAUUUUGGACAAUGGGCGCAAGCCUGAUCCAGCCAUUCCGCGUGCAGGAUGAAGGCCCUCGGGUUGUAAACUGCUUUUGU
rnacentral:rRNA from 1 species